UACGUAGGGGGCUAGCGUUGUCCGGAAUCAUUGGGCGUAAAGCGCGUGUAGGCGGUCCGGUAAGUCCGCUGUGAAAGUCGGGGGCUCAACCCUCGAAUGCCGGUGGAUACUGUCGGGCUAGAGUGCGGAAGAGGCGGGUGGAAUUCCUGGUGUAGCGGUGAAAUGCGCAGAUAUCAGGAGGAACACCAAUUGCGAAGGCAGCUCGCUGGGACGUAACUGACGCUGAUGCGCGAAAGCGUGGGGAGCAAACAGG
rnacentral:rRNA from 1 species